AAUAUUGGACAAUGGGCGCAAGCCUGAUCCAGCCAUGCCGCGUGAGUGAAGAAGGCCCUAGGGUUGUAAAGCUCUUUCACCCGCGAAGAUGAUGACGGUAGCGGGAGAAGAAGCCCCGGCUAACUCCGUGCCAGCAGCCGCGGUAAGACGGAGGGCGCGAGCGUUGUUCGGAAUUACUGGGCGUAAAGGGCGCGCAGGCGGACGGGCAAGUCGGAAGUGAAAUCCCGGGGCUCAACUCCGGGACUGCUUCCGAUACUGCUUGUCUAGGGACCGGUAGAGGCUGGUGGAAUUCCCGGUGUAGCGGUGGAAUGCGUAGAUAUCGGGAAGAACACCCGUGGCGAAGGCGGCCAGCUGGGCCGGAUCCGACGCUGAGGCGCGAAAGCGUGGGGAGCAAAC
rnacentral:rRNA from 1 species